rnacentral:rRNA from 1 species
UACAGGGGGGGCAAGCGUUGUUCGGAAUUACUGGGCGUAAAGGGCUCGUAGGUGGCCAACUAAGUCAGACGUGAAAUCCCUCAGCUUAACUGGGGAACGGCGUCUGAUACUGGAUGGCUUGAGUUUGGGAGAGGGAUGCGGAAUUCCAGGUGUAGCGGUGAAAUGCGUAGAUAUCUGGAGGAACACCGGUGGCGAAGGCGGCAUCCUGGACCAAUACUGACACUGAGGAGC